UACGUAGGGUGCGAGCGUUAAUCGGAAUUACUGGGCGUAAAGCGUGCGCAGGCGGUGAUGUAAGACAGGUGUGAAAUCCCCGGGCUUAACCUGGGAACUGCAUUUGUGACUGCAUUGCUGGAGUGCGGCAGAGGGGGAUGGAAUUCCGCGUGUAGCAGUGAAAUGCGUAGAUAUGCGGAGGAACACCGAUGGCGAAGGCAAUCCCCUGGGCCUGCACUGACGCUCAUGCACGAAAGCGUGGGGAGCGAACAGG
rnacentral:rRNA from 1 species